AAAAAAAAAGGCGGAGGAAGAAAAAAACACAUCGUUUUAUGAUUUUUAUUUUUAUUUUUAACAUCUUUAUCAGAGCUUCUGUCUUUUAGGGUUCGAAAUUAAAGAUUCGAUCGUAUCGCACCCUCUCUCGAUUUUCUCACCCACUUUUAUUUUUAUUUUAAUUUUAUUAUUAUUUUUUUUUGGGGGGAGAUUAAGUUUAUAUGUAAAAUUUUUCCGUAGGGUUUCGAUAAUAUUUCGCUCUUUUUUAUUAUUAUUAUUAUUAUUUUUUUUCCCUAUUCGCUAAGCGAUUCUAAAAUUCGAGGGCCUCAUUGUUAGGGUUAGGGUUUUGUCCGUACGAUUUGGGCUUGUUAAACGGAUAAGCGGGCAUGCCGUGGAGAAAUUGAGAAAUUUUUCAAAAUUUAUCGGGGGCAAAUGUUCGCUGCAGACAUGGAAUCUACGCGGGAAGUCGCUGGGGUUCCGAGCACAGUUCUAAUUCCAAUGCGGUUCGUAUGGCCUUAUGGGGGUAGAAGUGUAUUUCUCAGUGGUUCUUUCACACGGUGGUCUGAACUUGUGCCAAUGACACCCGUUGAAGGUUGCCCCACUGUGUUUCAGGCUAUUUACAGUGUAAUGCCCGGAUUCCACCAGUACAAAUUUUUUGUUGAUGGAGAAUGGAAACACGAUGAGCACCAACCUUUCGUGACGGGAGAAUAUGGAAUAGUGAACACAGUGCUCUUGGCAACAGCUAAUUUCCUUCCUGGAAAUGUAAGUCCAGGGAUAUCUUCUGGAUCUAACAUGGAUGUGGAUAAUGAGGCCUUUCGGCGUUUGGUCCGUAUUGCAGAUGGAACUUUGACCGAUGUGGUGCCGAGGUUAUCAGAGGCUGAUAUACAGGGCUCUCGUCACCGUAUCUCUGCUUUCUUGUCUUCACACACAGUAUAUGAACUACUCCCGGAGUCAGGCAAGGUUGUUGCCCUGGAUGUUGAUUUACCUGUAAAGCAAGCAUUUCAUAUACUGCAUGAGCAGGGAAUCCCUUUAGCGCCACUUUGGGACUUCUGCAAGGGGCAGUUCGUUGGUGUUCUUAGCGUGUUGGAUUUUAUAUUAAUCUUAAGAGAGCUUGGGAAUCAUGGAUCUAAUCUGACGGAAGAAGAGCUUGAAACACAUACUAUAUCUGCUUGGAAAGAGGGAAAAGCAUAUCUUAAUGGACAAAUUGGUGGGCAUGGAAGAGCAUUGUCAAGACACCUCAUCCAUGCUGGGCCUCAUGAUAACUUGAAAGAUGUUGCUUUGAAAAUUUUGCAACAUGAGGUGGCUACAGUUCCCAUUAUUUAUUCAACCUCAGAAGAUGGUUCUUUUCCGCAGCUGUUGCAUCUUGCUUCACUUUCUGGAAUACUUAAAUGUAUUUGGAGGUACUUUAGGAACUGUUCUAGCUUAUUGCCCAUACUUCAACUACCAAUAUGUGAAAUUCCUGUGGGAACAUGGGUUCCAAAAAUUGGAGAGUCAAAUCGACAACCAUUAGCAAUGUUGAGACCUAGUGCUUCUCUUAGUUCAGCAUUAAAUUUGUUAGUUCAAGCUCAAGUAAGUUCAAUACCUAUAGUUGAUGAUAAUGACUCUUUACUGGAUAUAUAUUGUCGGAGUGAUAUAACAGCUUUGGCUAAAGAUAGAGUCUAUACACACAUUAAUCUUAACGAAAUGACUAUACAUCAGGCACUGCAGUUGGGACAAGACUCGUAUUCUCCUUAUGAGAUGAGAAGUCAGAGAUGUCAGAUGUGUUUGCGCUCUGAUUCAUUACAGAAAGUAAUGGAGCGAUUGGCGAAUCCAGGUGUCAGACGACUUGUCAUUGUGGAAGCUGGAAGUAAGAGGGUCGAAGGCAUUGUUUCAGUCAGUGACAUUUUCAAGUUCUUGCUCAGUUAAGUAUGAAGAGAUGACCGAAAAUCAGAAGGGCUCUCUGUCAUCGGUGUUUGGACUCCCUCCACGUUUUCCAGGCACAUCGUAUUUACCCAACUGUUCAUUAUUAAAUCCAAGUACUUACACACGGUGCUUUGGUCCUGUUUCAUUGAAAAUAUACAAUUGGAUUGGUCUCUUUGCUUCAUCGCCUGUAUUUUUCUAUUACUAUAUUUUUUUAGGAAUUUAGGCUUAAAAGAUAGAGAGGCCUGUAAAUUGAGAGGAUUUGAUUCCCUCAUGAAAAUUUGUUGGGUCUUCCCCCAUUCCCCAUUUUUUUUUUUUUUUUCUCCCUUGUUCAUGGAUCGCAUGAAUGCUGCUGAUGUAGAUGCUUUGUUACCGGGUAGCAGGGACCUGUAAUAGUGUUAUUUUGUCACCAUGGAAGGAAAUUUGUGGAAAAAAAAAAAGAGAAAAAAAAAUUAAGAAUGGUUGUUGGAGAGGAUGUUAUUGUGGGGGCUGGGAAGGAAUGCUGAACGAUUAAAACUAUUCUGUGCUAUGCUCACUUGUUAACCUGUAAUUUGGCUUUUUGGUGUAUGAAUGAAACUUCACUUGCACUUUAUUUCUUGAAACAAAAUUAUUAAUUUUUGGAUAUUAUACCGUUUAUCCAAAAAGCUAUUAUGGAAGCCAAAUAAUCGAACGGAUCAAGUUAAAAAAAAAACCCUUUUAUAGUCUCUAAUACUAUGGAUGGUAAACAAUGUCAUAUAAUUUCCUUUAUUUAUGGGAAUAAGACUGAAGGUGGAAAUGAACAAUAAUAAGAAUCAAAAGAAUUUUAUUUUAUUAUUAUAGUUUAACUUUUGCGAAUGAGAUUGAUUAUACUUAAAAUUAUUAAUAUAAGAAAAUAUUAAAGCAAGUAAAGUCGAAUUUGUAACAAUGUGUUUAUUUAUUUUUUUGGGCUUAUUGAGACUCUAGUAAUUAGUCCGUUUGGUGAAUUGAUCCUACUCUCGUACGACGUCGUUGCCGUCCAUGUUAUAUCAGCUCCAGUGGAUUGGAUACAAACACCAGAAAUUUCAAACUGGGUCUCCCACAAUUUACGCACAGAGAGAGAGAGAGAGAGAGAGAUGAAGGACGAGGAGUUGAGCGAAGAAGAAAAGAAGGCUUUGAGAGGCAGCAAAUUCGCACCCCUUCCCUCUCUACCCUCAUCUUCUCGUUCCCAACCCAGGUAGGCGGCACUUCAGAUUCUGGAAGAAAUAUUAGACAUGUAAAUUCCUUUGGUGACUCUGAGCCUGAGAACGCGCAGGAAUCUUCUGAAGAAGGAAAGGCGGAAAGUUCUAAGCCAAAAAAACGUAAGAAAAAGAAGAAGAAACAUGAAAAGAAGAAAAACAAAAAGCAGAAGGUA